CUCAUACAUUCUGAAUUAAUGCUGGGCUCCUAUAAAAGGAUGAUUAUCUGUUGUCCUAAAUGUAUUGGAUUACUCCUCCUCCUGUGCUCCCAAGCUCUCAAUUUUGCCUGCCUUCUCGCCAAAAUAUGCUUCGAGCCACCUGUUCGGAUGACCACAAGAGUGUCUGGGAACCAAGACCAUCCACUGCGCGCACUGCAGGAAAUACCAACUGUAUGGUCAGCCACGGAGGGAUCCAACUGUGGACGUGCAGAGAAAAGGCAGAAUGAUCUCCAGCAGGUACCACGCGCCAUCUACUGGAGCCCGAAGCGGCUCCAUCCUUCAACAAGCUGCUGCAGCACAAAGCUGCGUUUCACAUAUACGGUGAAUUUAAACCAUAUGGAAGACCUACAUGUUUCGAG
ensembl:lncRNA